GAGUUUGAUCAUGGCUCACGAUGAACGCUAGCGGCAGGCUUAAACAUCGCUUACGAGGGGUAUAGUUCUUCGGAACUAGAGACCGGCGCACGUGUGCGUAACGCGUAUGCAAUCUACCUUUUACAGCGGGAUAGCCCAGAGUAAUUUGGAUUAAUACCUCAUAGUAUGAUACAAUCGCAUGAUUGAAUCAUUAAAGUCACAACGGUAAAAGAUGAGCAUGCGUCCCAUUAGCUAGUUGGUAAGGUAACGGCUUACCAAGGCAACGAUGGGUAGGGGUCCUGAGAGGGAGAUCCCCCACACUGGUACUGAGACACGGACCAGACUCCUACGGGAGGCAGCAGUGAGGAAUAUUGGACAAAGGGCGCAAGCCUGAUCCAGCCAUGCCGCGUGCAGGAUGACGGUCCUAUGGAUUGUAAACUGCUUUUGUACAGGAAGAAACACUCCCUCGUGAGGGAGCUUGACGGUACUGUAAGAAUAAGGAUCGGCUAACUCCGUGCCAGCAGCCGCGGUAAUACGGAGGAUCCAAGCGUUAUCCGGAAUCAUUGGGUUUAAAGGGUCCGUAGGCGGUCUUAUAAGUCAGUGGUGAAAUCUCCCUGCUCAACGGGGAAACGGCCAUUGAUACUGUAGGACUUGAAUUAUUAGGAAGUAACUAGAAUAUGUAGUGUAGCGGUGAAAUGCUUAGAGAUUACAUGGAAUACCAAUUGCGAAGGCAGGUUACUACUAAUGGAUUGACGCUGAUGGACGAAAGCGUGGGUAGCGAACAGGAUUAGAUACCCUGGUAGUCCACGCCGUAAACGAUGGAUACUAGCUGUUGGGCGCAAGUUCAGUGGCUAAGCGAAAGUGAUAAGUAUCCCACCUGGGGAGUACGCUCGCAAGAAUGAAACUCAAAGGAAUUGACGGGGGCCCCGCACAGCGGUGGAGCAUGUGGUUUA
rnacentral:rRNA from 1 species